rnacentral:rRNA from 1 species
ACAAUGGGCGCAAGCCUGAUCCAGCAAUGCCGCGUGCAGGAUGAAGGCCUUCGGGUUGUAAACUGCUUUUGUACGGAACGAAAAGCCCUGGGUUAAUACCCUGGGGUCAUGACGGUACCGUAAGAAUAAGCACCGGCUAACUACGUGCCAGCAGCCGCGGUAAUACGUAGGGUGCNAGCGUUAAUCGGAAUUACUGGGCGUAAAGCGUGCGCAGGCGGUUUUGUAAGACAGAGGUGAAAUCCCCGGGCUCAACCUGGGAACUGCCUUUGUGACUGCAAGGCUAGAGUACGGCAGAGGGGGAUGGAAUUCCGCGUGUAGCAGUGAAAUGCGUAGAUAUGCGGAGGAACACCGAUGGCGAAGGCAAUCCCCUGGGCCUGUACUGACGCUCAUGCACGAAAGCGUGGGGAGCAAACAGGAUUAGAUACCCUGGUAGUCCACGCCCUAAACGAUGUCAACUGGUUGUUGGGUACUUAACUGACUCAGUAACGAAGCUAACGCGUGUAA